rnacentral:misc_RNA from 1 species
AACUUUUGGCAACGGAUCUCUUGGCUCUCACAUCGAUGAAGAGCGCAGCGAAAUGCGAUAAGUAAUGUGAAUUGCAGAAUUCAGUGAAUCAUGGAAUCUUUGAACGCACCUUGCGCCCUUUGGCUAUUCCGAAGGGCAUGCCUGUUUGAGUAUCAUGAACACCUCAACUCUCAUGGUUCGCCAUGAUGAGCUUGGACUUUGGGGGUCUUGCCGGCCUGUGGUCUGCUCCCCUUAAAUGAAUCAGCUUGCCAGUGUUUGGUGGCGUCACAGGUGUGAUAACUAUCUACGCUUGUGGUUUUCCACCGGGUAACCUUCAGCAAUGGAGGUUCUCUGGAGCUCAUAAAUGUCUCUCCUGGGUGAGGACAGUCUUUGAACGUUUGAUCUCAAAUCAGGUAGGACUACCCGCUGAACUUAAGCAUAUCAAUAAGCGGAGGAU